rnacentral:lncRNA from 1 species
UGUCAUAAAUUUUACGUUAUGUUUUCUGAUAGUAUCAAGCUUGGUAGUCUCUAAAUAUUUUGAAAGCGCUCUAAUUACACCUCAUGUGCAGCAUCUUGCAGAAGAUAGAAGGAAUUUGCCAAUAAUUAGAAGUGGACUUUUUUGUCAAACUUCUUUUUAUCAACUAUUAAGUCGGAUCACAUUUGUGAUCAGUGGCAGAGCCAGGAUUUCAAGUUUAUGGGUUCGGAAUUCUAAUCGUUUUAAGAUAUUGAGUUCUAAAUUAAUAAUUUGUAUAUAUUCAAUAAAUUUUUUAAAACAAACAAAUGGUUCGAACCAAAUUCUAGCGGGUUCAGCCGAAUUCACUCGAAGCACUCUAGCUCUGC